ACCAGACUCCUACGGGAGGCAGCAGUGGGGAAUAUUGCACAAUGGGGGAAACCCUGAUGCAGCGACGCCGCGUGAGUGAAGAAGUAUUUCGGUAUGUAAAGCUCUAUCAGCAGGGAAGAUAAUGACGGUACCUGACUAAGAAGCCCCGGCUAACUACGUGCCAGCAGCCGCGGUAAUACGUAGGGGGCAAGCGUUAUCCGGAUUUACUGGGUGUAAAGGGUGCGCAGGUGGCAGGGCAAGUCAGAUGUGAAAGCCCGGGGCUCAACCCCGGUAUUGCAUUUGAAACUGUCCGGCUAGAGUGCAGGAGAGGUAAGCGGAAUUCCUAGUGUAGCGGUGAAAUGCGUAGAUAUUAGGAGGAACACUAGUGGCGAAGGCGGCUUACUGGACUGUAACUGACACUGAGGCACGAAAGCGUGGGGAGCAAACAGGAUUAGAUACCCUAGUA
rnacentral:rRNA from 1 species